UUGUCUUGUUGUCAGCCAUAUUGUUACCCUUAGCCAUUUUAUGGAACAAAAUGUCUGGUGUCUAAACUGAUUUCUUUAUACUCUGAGAAAGACUUAUUCUAUUUUUCUGGACUAUGCUGAACUAUUGAACUAUUUUUAUUUUUAUUUUUGUAGAGUUAGCCAGAGAGAGAGGAAGUGUUAGCUGACCCAGGGAUGGAUGUACUAUGUGUGUUUUUGAUAUAUGUUGAGUGUGCCAAGGAUGGAUUCCCAUGUUUUGAGGAACUGCGUGAGGAUAUGACUGGUUUUGACUGGACUUUUGGAAUAGGGAAAUGGUUAAAAGAUAUAGGACGCAAGGUCCUGG